rnacentral:rRNA from 1 species
UACGUAGGGCGCAAGCGUUAUCCGGAAUUAUUGGGCGUAAAGAGCUCGUAGGCGGUUUGUCGCGUCUGCCGUGAAAGUCCGGGGCUCAACCCCGGAUCUGCGGUGGGUACGGGCAGACUAGAGUGAUGUAGGGGAGACUGGAAUUCCUGGUGUAGCGGUGAAAUGCGCAGAUAUCAGGAGGAACACCGGUGGCGAAGGCGGGUCUCUGGGCCGUAACUGACGCUGAGGAGCGAAAGCAUGGGGAGCGAACAGG